CUCCUGGACAGCCCUAGUUCUCAUCAGCUCAGCGGGGACAGCGUUGCGUUUGAUUAGACGGUUGCUGGGAGACCUGAGGCCGGGCGGAGGAGGGGCCACAGAACCUUUAGAGCCUGGAGGGAGGGGCCCUUCCAUCCCAAACUGGCCCCUCCCCCAACCCCAAGAAGACGGAGAGCAGAAAGGGGGCGGGAGAAGAGAAGCCAGGCCCUCACAUCUCCCACCACCACUGAUUUCCCUCUUCUCUGGCAUUUUAAGAGCUCAGACUCAAACCCUUCAAGGGCUUUUGAAACAAUUAGAUUAGCAAGUGCCCAGAGCUCAGUCUAAUAGCUUAAAAGCCACUUCAGGCUCCAACGGACCCAGAGUAAAGCCUGGGGGUGGGGUGGGGAGAGACCCGAGAGGCACUGUCGCCCUGCUUCCCAGGCCUUUCUUGGUGACCAAGGGCUGGGCCACAGGUCAUGCCAAAAAGGGACCUUCGAUUGUCCCCAUGGGCAGAGCCACUGUAAUCUCUCUGUCCCUUGCCCACCCCACCCCUAGAGAACCCUCACACUUAACCCUUCUCUCAUACACCUGCUCGUGCAAAUCCCAGCAUCCUUGGGGUGGGGGUGGGGGGUCAGGGCAGGUGUGUCCACAACCACUUUUGAGAGUUAGAAACUGACUGGCCCAAGGUCAGCAGGUCCAGAAGGGUCAGAGGCGGCCUUGAGGUGUCUGGCUCAAAGAUGACGCUGCUCCUCUGGGAUCUUUUGUGAUUUGGGCCUGAGGGUCUUUUGCAAUCUCUAAGAAGAUUCGCUCUGAGCUAAUGUCUGCUGCCAAUCCUCCUCUUUUGGCUUAGGAAGACUGGCCCUGAGCUAACAUCUGUGCCCAUCUUCCUCUACUUUAUAUGUAGGACACCUGCCACAGCAUGGCUUGAUGAGUGGUGCGUAAGUCCGUUCCCAGGAUCUGAGAACAGGUGAAACAAUUAGAUUGAGUCAAACCCUGGGCCACUGAAACUGAGCAUGUGAACUUAACCACUGUGCCACCGGACAGGCCCCUAGAGAUAGCUUUAGUACAGCAUAGACGCUCUAUUAUGAGCACACAAGUCAGGGAUGCCUGGCGGACCUGGAGGUGGGGCUGGGCUGUUGACAAGAAAGGAUUGCGGAGGUUUGAUCACAGAACUGAAUCUUAAAUGAGGAGGAAUUGGUCCAGACAGGAGAUGGGAGAUGGGCCAGAGGGGACAGGAAGCGCUGAGGUGCGUGCUUCACGUGUUACAGGGAGCUGGGAGCAGCACAGCCGGGCCAGAGCGUCAUUUAGAGGCUAGGAGUAGUGUGGGCAGGGGCUGGAGCGGAUGGGGGGGCUGGCCCCCAAGGGCCGGGAGCCAAGUGGAAGAGUUUGGGCUUCCUUCUGUGGGCAGUAGGGAGCCACAGAGGGUGUCAGGCCUGACCGCAUCCUAAUCUGAUUUGUGCUGGAGAAAGAUCUCUCUGGCUGUGGAGAAGGUGGGUGGGGAACUGGCAGGACUGGGGGCUGGGAGGCCAUCAUGAGGCUGUCGCAGUGAUCCGGUGGCAGGUGAGAGUGGACUGGACCACAGCAGCCGUGAUGGGGUUUGAAGAACUGUUUAGAAAGGAAAGUGGCCAGGAGGUUCAGACGCUGGCUGAUUGGAUAAAAGGAUUAGAAAACAGAGGAAUAGAGAGGGACCCACGUUCAGCUCCAGCACCCUUGGACCAGAUACGAGGGGCCCCCACUUCAGGACCUCUUCCAGCGCUCCUCACAAGGACCUGUGCGGGCUGCCUCCACAGUUCCACCCUCCAGUGAGAAGCGUGCCAUGCUGCAGGCCGAGGGCGGGCAUGUGCACAGAGCUUGGGUGUGCAGACCGUGGGUCCACCGUGAGAGCUCUUGAAGCCCUUCUUAGCUGGAGAACUCCAGGAAGCCGGAGAACUCGAAAUGGGAACGUGGCCUUCCAGAUCUUCAGAAGGUCAUCUAUCAUAGGUGCCACACAGUCACGACUGGACAGCACACUUCUCCGUGCCCUGUCUUUUCACAGAGACAUGCAUGCAGCGUCCAGGGCAGCAUUUUACUCUCAGUGGGCACACCAUAAUUAUUUGUGGACCAAAAAGAGCCCUGUCAUGGUAAGCUGGAAUGGUCUUUCAGGAGUGCUCAGAACAGAACACACAGGUGUGUUCUUCUGGGCUCUCUCCUGUAUCUUCCUAUCCUGUGACAACCGCAACGGCCAAGGAUCAAGAAAGAAAAGAACAAAGGGCUUUGAAUCGCUGACUCCUCGGUGGAAAGAAUCCCAAAGGAUCCAAGGGAAUCCAGUGGGAUGCUCGGUGGUUCCUUAUUUCUGAGGACCUAACAACCUGAGCUAACAUCCUGGCCCUGAGCUAACAUCCGUGCCCAUCUUCCUCUACUUUAUACAUGGGACACUUGCCACAGCAUGGCUUGACAAGUGGUGUGUAGGUCUGCGCCCGGGAUCCAAACCAGGGAACCCCAGGCGACCGAAGCGGAACAUGAAAACUUAACCGCUGUGCCACCGGGCCGGCCCAGUACAGAAAUUCCUAACUUGGGGGUCUGGGAAUCCCUGGGAUGCCCAUGGAUACGCUUUAAGAGCCCCGAAAUCUCUUGAAAAUACAUGUAAAAUUGAGCGUGUGAGUAUAUGUGUGCACAUGAACUGCUGUAAGUUGGUAAUCUGGAGCUUCCAGCAAAUUCUCAAAGGGGCCUGUGACCCAAGAAAAGUAGAUUUGCCCUACCCCAAAUCUCCCAUCUGAAAGGGGAGGAUACUGAGGCCAAGAGAGGGGACAUGAACUGCUGGGUCACAUUAGGGGACAGAUGAAACCCAGGGUCCCUCAGCUUGUGUGGCUGUGUGGGUCACUUCGGUCUGCACAACCUGAAAGGCAGGCCUGGCUCCCCAGGAGGCUGUGUGAGAGGCCACAGCACAGUACCAUCUCUCCUUGCUCCUGGAGAGACAUCUCAAAGGCACGAUGUUCCCUGGGGGUGAGGGUGGGUGCUGAGGUCUGUUCCCACGGAAAACAGAACAAGAGAAAACCAGACCAAAACUGGAAACGAAAGGAAGUCCCUGUCACCGAGAAGCUUGGGCACAUUAGCUGGCCUCAGUUUCCAGAUGUGGAAAUGGAAAUGAUAAUAAUGCUUACAUGUCUAAGUCGUGGGGAAGAUUAAAGGUGAUCAAGUGAGCGGAAACAGCUUACAAAAAGGAAGCUGUACACAAAUGCUGGUGACAAUCACUACAGUGGAGGCCUGGUGAAUAUUGUUGGCUGCUGGGAGGAAAUUGUGGACCACCUGCAUUACCCUAUUCUGGACAACUAUGAAAUUCUCCUGCAGGCCCUUGCAGCCUAAGAGGCCUGGUUUUGGAGUCAAACCUGAACUACAUCUCAGUUCCACCACGGGUGCAUGUGUGUGACCUUGGACAAAUCACUUAACCUCUCUGGGCCUCAGAUUGUUCAUCUGCAAAGUGGGGACACACACCUACCUGAUUGGGACAUUAUGAGGAUUUGAUGAGUUAGUGCAAAUGAAAAUGCCUGUAACGGUGACUGGCAUAUAAAAGCGCUCAAUAAACAUUAUCAUUAUUUUUUGUUCCUGUUCCUUGCCAAUCGUAACUUCAAGCAGUUUAUUUGUUCCUUGUGAAGUUUCUGUCUCCCCACAUCUCUGUGUUCUCCGCUGGCACGUAAGUUCUGUAGCUUAAGGACAAGCUUGUUUUGUUUACAGUUGUAUCCCUCAGCCUGGCACACAGUAUGC
ensembl:lncRNA